rnacentral:rRNA from 1 species
GACGAACGCUGGCGGCGUGCCUAAUACAUGCAAGUCGAACGCUGAGGCGAGGAGCUUGCUCUUCUUGGGUGAGUUGCGGACGGGUGAGUAACGCGUAGGUAACCUGCCUUGUAGCGGGGGAUAACUAUUGGAAACGGUAGCUAAUACCGCAUAACAUUGUGUAACACAUGUCAUUUAUUUGAAAGUCGCAAUUGUUGCACUACAUGGUGGACCUCCGUCGUAUUAGGUAGUAGGUGAGGUAAUGGCCCUCCUAGGGGACGAUACAUAGCCGGACUGAGAGGGGGAGCGGCCACCCUGGGACUGAGACCCGGCACAGACUCCCUAGGGAAGGAGCAGUAGGGAAACUUCGGGCAUGGGGGCAAAGCUUAACGAGCAACGCCGAGGGAGGGAAGAAGGGUUUCGGAUCCGAAAGAUCUGUUUUUAGGGGAGAAACGGUGUUAGAGUGGAAAGUUCACACUGUGACGGUAGCUUAUCAGAAAGCGACGGCUAACUACGUG